rnacentral:rRNA from 1 species
ACCUACGGGGGGCAGCAGUGGGGAAUAUUGCACAAUGGGGGAAACCCUGAUGCAGCGACGCCGCGUGAGUGAUGAAGUAUUUCGGUAUGUAAAGCUCUAUCAGCAGGGAAGAUAAUGACGGUACCUGACUAAGAAGCUCCGGCUAAAUACGUGCCAGCAGCCGCGGUAAUACGUAUGGAGCAAGCGUUAUCCGGAUUUACUGGGUGUAAAGGGAGCGUAGACGGCGGAACAAGUCAGAAGUGAAAACCCGGGGCUCAACCCUGGGAGUGCUUUUGAAACUGUUUGGCUGGAGUGCAGGAGAGGUA